CCUACGGGGGGCAGCAGUGAGGAAUAUUGGUCAAUGGGCUGACGCCUGAACCAGCCAAGUCGCGUGAGGGAAGACUGCCCUAUGGGUUGUAAACCUCUUUUGUCAGGGAGCAACGCCGGCUACGUGUAGCCGGACUGAGAGUACCUGAAGAAAAAGCAUCGGCUAACUCCGUGCCAGCAGCCGCGGUAAUACGGAGGUUCCGAGCGUUAUCCGGUUUUAUUGGGUUUAAAGGGGGCGUAAGUGGGUUGUUAAGUCAGUUGGGAAAGUUGGCGGCUCAACCGUAAAAUUGCAAUUGAUACUGUCAGCCUUGAGUGGAGUUGAGGUAGGCGGAAUGCGUGGUGUAGCGGUGAAAUGCUUAGAUAUCACGCAGAACUCCGAUUGCGAAGGCAGCAUACUAACCUGCCACUGACAUUGAUGCUCGAAAGUGUGGGUAUCAAACAGGAUUAGAUACCCUUGUAGUC
rnacentral:rRNA from 1 species